UAUUCUUUAUCGCUUAAUUCAUUUAUUGAAGCGGGGGACCCACUAGUUUCAGGGGUGAAUCCUUUCUGUUGAAAGGUAGGGCCACUUCCAUGACCCGAAUCCGUCAGCUAACUCCGUAAGCGUAUUGGGAGAGGAUGA
rnacentral:sRNA from 2 species